rnacentral:rRNA from 1 species
GACGAACGCUGGCGGCGUGCCUAAUACAUGCAAGUCGAGCGAAUCAACAGGAGCUUGCUCCUGUUGAUUAGCGGCGGACGGGUGAGUAACACGUGGGCAACCUGCCUGUAAGACUGGGAUAACACCGGGAAACCGGUGCUAAUACCGGAUAAUCCUUUUCCCCUCAUGAGGAAAAGCUGAAAGUCGGUUUCGGCUGACACUUACAGAUGGGCCCGCGGCGCAUUAGCUAGUUGGUGAGGUAACAGCUCACCAAGGCGACGAUGCGUAGCCGACCUGAGAGGGUGAUCGGCCACACUGGGACUGAGACACGGCCCAGACUCCUACGGGAGGCAGCAGUAGGGAAUCUUCCACAAUGGACGAAAGUCUGAUGGAGCAACGCCGCGUGAGCGAUGAAGGCCUUCGGGUCGUAAAGCUCUGUUGUUAGGGAAGAACAAGUACCGGAGUAACUGCCGGUACCUUGACGGUACCUAACCAGAAAGCCACGGCUAACUACGUGCCAGCCGCCGCCGUAAUAC